UUAGCUUUUCAUGCCCUAAAAUGAAAAUAUCUCAUCUACCAUCGUUGUCUAAUUCUGGAUCCUUCUUUGGUAUCAGGACUCCGGACGAUCAGCAGACCGACCCGAUAUCCAACACGGGCGUUAACCGCCACAAUAUUCCAUGGCAAUCGACAUCACACUCUCACUAGCUCUUCUUCUUCUUCCUCCCCUCUCUUGCAGAAUGCAAAAACCUCACCAGAAAACCCAUCCCAACAAAACGACGUCUUAUCAACACCAAAAUUAAACUUCCCACUAUUUCUGUGGCCUCCGUCUCAACCACAGGAAUCCCAUCCAUGAUCGUGGGUGGCGGACGGGUGGGAAGGACUCCGCGGGAGAUGGGCAAUGUCCUGGAUUUGCUUUGCUUGUAAGGAGAGGGCAGCCACCUGAUUCACAUACCUUAUGUUUUAUCAUCAAAUAACAAAAAUUGUGAAGUCUUGUUGAGCUUGUUGAUUUCCGGAUGUAUAUACUCUUUCGCAUUGUUUACGGAGGACAUGUUUUUCUCGGGACGAUCCAUUCACGUAUUGUUUAGGGGCUUAUGAUUUGGGGGUUGUAUUGAGAUGCUUACAUUCUAGCAGAUAUAUAUAUAUUUUUUUUCCCAUAAUGGAAUGCUGGAGCCAUGGCUUCAAAGUGAGGGUUUAAAUGAUGCGGACCAAGUGCAAGCAUAUUUUUCUGUACCAAAGCUUGGAGAACCACAUUGAUGCGAAGACUGAUACCAAUCCUGAAGGAUUAACAGCAGCUUACGGGAAGUGGGCAUCUGCAGUGGCUGCAAGAUUUCUUGCUGGAGGCCUCUCUUAGAAGUUAUAAGCUUCUUGGCAAGGACGCAUUUCUGAAGCAGAUGUUGGAGAAGCUGAUAUGAAUUUCAGCAUUUAUGCUUGUUGGUGCUCGUCAUCCUUGGGCCACUGUAGGUGUUGUUCAAAAAGAACACCGCUCUAAGGUAUCAAGCCUCAUUGCUGAACUUGCUGCUGCAGCAGCAGAGCAGAGAAAGGAUUAGUAUUUGAAGCAGCAAUGGAGGAUAGACUCUGCGCUUAUUUACAUGGCGUCUCUCAGUUCCCAACAGUAGUAAAAGAGGUAGAAGUUUCAUUCUUGACAGCUUACGCAUGCAAUUGUCACACUGAAGUUUAAAAGUUUUUUUAUAUCCGAGAUGGCAAUCGCGAAAGGGAAACCCGAUCCUUGUCCCUUACACACAGCAUGGCUAAAGGAACUGGAAAUCACUGAGAGUUCAAUCCUCUUCAGUCUAUUGUCUUGUGGUUUGUUUAGUACCUAUAUAGCUUCUGAAAUGCACAUUGAAGUUUUCACAUACUGGAUUGCUUACUUGCUUGCUGAAA